GUGGCACCUCCAGGAUGAAUGGAACAACCAGCUGCCCUAAUGUUAUGCAAAUAGGUACUUCAAGCUUGGGAUAAAAAUUCUGUUGAAAGCAUCCUCCAGAUUCCAAAAAUGCUGUAUCGCCGAGAACCAAGAGGGGAGGGAAGAAGAUGUGCUCAGAAAACUCAGAUGACUCAAAAGGUGGCUUUGAUGAUGACAAAGACCCUGAGAGCAAAGAUGAGUUGGAAGAGCUGGCAUGAAAUUGAGUCAUGGAACGAAGGUGAAGAAAGCAACUCUUCUAAACUAAUAUAUCAUUACAUAUAAUAUGUGAUUGCAGGCAUGUAUGGACUUCCUCCGGCUGCCUGCACUGGGGAUGGCCAGAAUGAAUACCUCCCAGGAGCAGCCCUCACCCAGUGACUGAUGGCCUCCUCAGCGCCCUCACGCCCUGAACGAGAUGCUGCUGGAGUGUGUUCUGCACUGGCCCCCACCAUUCCCAGGGGAUUAAGCCCCAGGUGCCCCACUGGUACCCUGCUUACUAACACAUCCUUUAUCGGCUGACUUCCACUCUCCGUCUCACUUUCCCCUUCCUGCUGCUUGCAGGAUUCCCUCAAAUAAAGUAGAUCAACUAGAA